GAGAGUGUCUUCAUUGACCUCUCACCCUUCACAUCCACAUACACCUGUGCACCGUUUGGCUCUUUUAAAAGACGUAAGUCUGCAAAGAGAGUCAUCAAUUUUAUACAUACCCCAGUCUUAUGAAUGUAACAGUUUUAAUAAACAAAAUAAAACUUUUAACAACGGAUCUCUUGGUUCUCGCAUCGAUGAAGAACGCAGCGAAAUGCGAUAAGUAAUGUGAAUUGCAGAAUUCAGUGAAUCAUCGAAUCUUUGAACGCACCUUGCGCUCUUUGGUAUUCCGAAGAGCAUGCCUGUUUGAGUGUCAUGAAACUCUCAACUCCCAACUUUCUUAAUAGUCGGUUGGGAGCUUGGACUUGAGCGUUGCUGGUCUUUAUUGACCGGCUCGCUUGAAAUGAAUUAGCAGAUCCUUUUUGUAAUCGGUUCCACUCGACGUGAUAAGUAUUUCGCCGAGGACAUCUUAACGGAUGGCCGAGAUAAAGAAAGUCUUUAGAUCCGCUUCUAAUUAUUAGAUAGAGCUUGCUCUACUAAACCCCUUUUAUGAUCUGGCCUCAAAUCAGGUAGGACUACCCGCUGAACUUAAGCAUAUCAAUAAGCGGAGGA
rnacentral:rRNA from 1 species